rnacentral:rRNA from 1 species
GGUUACGAUCAUACCAUCACUAAUGCACCGGAUCCCAUCAGAACUCCGCGAUUAAGCGAGCUUGGGCGAGAGUAAUACUAGGAUGGGUGACCCCCUGGGAAUGCCUCAUCUUGCAACCC